rnacentral:rRNA from 1 species
AGUGAACGCUGGCGGUAGGCCUAACACAUGCAAGUCGAACGGCAGCACAGUAAGAGCUUGCUCUUACGGGUGGCGAGUGGCGGACGGGUGAGGAAUACAUCGGAAUCUACUUUUUCGUGGGGGAUAACGUAGGAAAACUUACGCUAAUACCGCAUACGACCUACGGGUGAAAGCAGGGGAUCUUCGGACCUUGCGCGAUUGAAUGAGCCGAUGUCGGAUUAGCUAGUUGGCGGGGUAAAGGCCCACCAAGGCGACGAUCCGUAGCUGGUCUGAGAGGAUGAUCAGCCACACUGGAACUGAGACACGGUCCAGACGCCUACGGGAGGCAGCAGUGGGGAAUAUUGGACAAUGGGCGCAAGCCUGAUCCAGCCAUACCGCGUGGGUGAAGAAGGCCUUCGGGUUGUAAAGCCCUUUUGUUGGGAAAGAAAAGCAGCAGGUUAAUACCCCGCUGUUCUGACGGUACCCAAAGAAUAAGCACCGGCUAACUUCGUG